rnacentral:rRNA from 1 species
UACGGAGGGUGCAAGCGUUUAUCCGGAUUCACUGGGUUUAAAGGGUGCGUAGGUGGGCAGGUAAGUCAGUGGUGAAAUCUCCGGGCUUAACCCCGGAAACUGCCAUUGAUACUAUUUGUCUUGAAUACCGUGGAGGUCAGCGGAAUAUGUCAUGUAGCGGUGAAAUGCUUAGAUAUGACAUAGAACACCAAUUGCGAAGGCAGCUGGCUACACGAAUAUUGACACUGAUGCACGAAAGCGC